rnacentral:rRNA from 1 species
UACGGAGGGAGCUAGCGUUGUUCGGAAUUACUGGGCGUAAAGCGCACGUAGGCGGCUUUGUAAGUUAGAGGUGAAAGCCCGGAGCUCAACUCCGGAACUGCCUUUAAGACUGCAUCGCUUGAAUCCAGGAGAGGUGAGUGGAAUUCCGAGUGUAAAGGUGAAAUUCGUAGAUAUUCGGAAGAACACCAGUGGCGAAGGCGGCUCACUGGACUGGUAUUGACGCUGAGGUGCGAAAGCGUGGGGAGCAAACAGG